rnacentral:rRNA from 1 species
UAACGAAUCUUCCGCAAUGGGCGAAAGCCUGACGGAGCAAUGCCGCGUGUAGGAUGAAGCAUCUCUGGUGUGUAAACUACUGUCAGGGGGCGUAACCAAUGAUUGCCCCCAGAGGAAGUGGCGACUAACUCUGUGCCAGCAGUCGCGGUAAUACAGAGGCCACAAGCGUUAGUCGGAAUCACUGGGCUUAAAGGGUGCGUAGGCGGGUCCGCAAGCGUCCUGUGAAAUCCCACGGCUCAACCGUGGAACAGCAGGGCGAACUGCGGGUCUUGAGGCAAGUAGGGGUCGCGAGAACUGUAGGUGGACCGGUGAAAUGGGUAGAUAUCUACAGGAAUGCCGAUGGUGAAGACGCGCGACUGGGCUUGUCCUGACGCUGAGGCACGAAAGCGUGGGGAGCAAA